UGUUGUGGCUUGUGUUCGUCAAGGUGCAGG
rnacentral:piRNA from 1 species